rnacentral:hammerhead_ribozyme from 1 species
AUCCAGCUGACGAGUCCAAAACAGGACGAAAUGCGCAUCCUGAAU